rnacentral:rRNA from 1 species
GACGAACGCUGGCGGCGUGCUUAACACAUGCAAGUCGAACGGAAAGGCCCUGCUUUUGUGGGGUGCUCGAGUGGCGAACGGGUGAGUAACACGUGAGUAACCUGCCCUUGACUUUGGGAUAACUUCAGGAAACUGGGGCUAAUACCGGAUAGGAGCUCCUGCUGCAUGGUGGGGGUUGGAAAGUUUCGGCGGUUGGGGAUGGACUCGCGGCUUAUCAGCUUGUUGGUGGGGUAGUGGCUUACCAAGGCUUUGACGGGUAGCCGGCCUGAGAGGGUGACCGGCGACAUGGGGACUGAGAGACGGCCCAGACUCCUACGGGAGGCAGCAGUGGGGAAUAUUGCACAAUGGGCGGAAGCCUGAUGCAGCAACGCAGCGUGCGGGAUGAAGGCCUUCGGGUUGUAAACAGAUUGCGCCUGUGACGAAGCGUGAGUGACGGUAAUGGGUAAAGAAGCACCGGCUAACUACGUG